GACUGGUGUUUCACGCAACAACC
rnacentral:siRNA from 1 species